AUCUACAGGCUUAACACAUGCAAGUCGAGGGGCAGCAUUUCAGUUUGCUUGCAAACUGGAGAUGGCGACCGGCGCACGGGUGAGUAACACGUAUCCAACCUGCCGAUAACUCGGGGAUAGCCUUUCGAAAGAAAGAUUAAUACCCGAUGGCAUAAUUAGACCGCAUGGUCUUAUUAUUAAAGAAUUUCGGUUAUCGAUGGGGAUGCGUUCCAUUAGGCAGUUGGUGAGGUAACGGCUCACCAAACCUUCGAUGGAUAGGGGUUCUGAGAGGAAGGUCCCCCACAUUGGAACUGAGACACGGUCCAAACUCCUACGGGAGGCAGCAGUGAGGAAUAUUGGUCAAUGGACGAGAGUCUGAACCAGCCAAGUAGCGUGAAGGAUGACUGCCCUAUGGGUUGUAAACUUCUUUUAUAUGGGAAUAAAGUUUUCCACGUGUGGAAUUUUGUAUGUACCAUAUGAAUAAGGAUCGGCUAACUCCGUGCCAGCAGCCGCGGUAAUACGGAGGAUCCGAGCGUUAUCCGGAUUUAUUGGGUUUAAAGGGAGCGUAGGUGGACAGUUAAGUCAGUUGUGAAAGUUUGCGGCUCACCCGUAAAAUUGCAGUUGAUACUGGCUGUCUUGAGUACAGUAGAGGUGGGCGGAAUUCGUGGUGUAGCGGUGAAAUGCUUAGAUAUCACGAAGAACUCCGAUUGCGAAGGCAGCUCACUGGACUGCAACUGACACUGAUGCUCGAAAGUGUGGGUAUCAAACAGGAUUAGAUACCCUGGUAGUCCACACAGUAAACGAUGAAUACUCGCUGUNUGCGAUAUACAGUAAGCGGCCAAGCGAAAGCAUUAAGUAUUCCACCUGGGGAGUACGCCGGCAACGGUGAAACUCAAAGGAAUUGACGGGGGCCCGCACAAGCGGAGGAACAUGUGGUUUAAUUCGAUGAUACGCGAGGAACCUUACCCGGGCUUAAAUUGCAAAUGAAUUAUGGGGAAACCCAUACGCCGCAAGGCAUUUGUGAAGGUGCUGCAUGGUUGUCGUCAGCUCGUGCCGUGAGGUGUCGGCUUAAGUGCCAUAACGAGCGCAACCCUUAUCUUUAGUUACUAACAGGUCAUGCUGAGGACUCUAGAGAGACUGCCGUCGUAAGAUGUGAGGAAGGUGGGGAUGACGUCAAAUCAGCACGGCCCUUACGUCCGGGGCUACACACGUGUUACAAUGGGGGGUACAGAAGGCAGCUACCUGGUGACAGGAUGCUAAUCCCAAAAGCCUCUCUCAGUUCGGAUCGAAGUCUGCAACCCGACUUCGUGAAGCUGGAUUCGCUAGUAAUCGCGCAUCAGCCAUGGCGCGGUGAAUACGUUCCCGGGCCUUGUACACACCGCCCGUCAAGCCAUGAAAGCCGGGGGUACCUGAAGUACGUAACCGCAAGGAGCGUCCUAGGGUAAAACUGGUAAUUGGGGCUAAGUG
rnacentral:rRNA from 1 species